AUGCUACUACAGGGUGAGUCUUUGAAAAGAGGCCUCGUGGAACAUGUGUACUCUGUAUCCACGGGGCCUCUUUCAAAGGACUCACCCUGUAAUAACA